rnacentral:lncRNA from 1 species
UCUCCCCUAGCUCUCCUCUUGUUUUUAUAGCUUUAGAUGGCGUGGAAACAAGAAUCUAGCCGUUAGAGACAAAAAUAGAGCCGUUGGACACAGUCUGCACUUCCUGACAAUAUUACCGUUGGGAUCGGAGUCGACUCGCGCGAUCAGGAGUCGACUCGCCUGUUGCAGGAGUCGACUCGUGCUUUACUGGAGACGACUCGGCCACUGUUCCAAAUUUGAAUUAUUGUGCAUCCUCGACUGGGAGUCGACUCGU